CUGAGAGGGCCCUGACCACAACCGAGGAGGAACCCCGAUCACAACCGGCGACGAGCCCCAUGGAGGACCCCUGAUCACAACCAGGGAGGAGCCCCGGUCACAACUAGGGAGGAGCCCUGAUGGCAAUUAGAGCAAAGCCCAGGUGCAGCAAUGGAGACCCAGCAUACCAAAGAUAAAUAGAUAAAAUUAGAGAAGCAACCUCCUAUGAUUAAAAUAUUUCACCAAGGAAUAGCUAGGAUAAACGAUUUGCAGCUCCAAGAUUUAAACUCCAGUUUAUUAAAAACUGAUGCUCCUCCUACAUAUCAAACUGACUCUCAAACAUGUGUCAGAGCUCAACAAACUUCCAAAAUCAACUUGAAAACUGGUCUGUAUUUAAGGUCCUAGGGAAUUGGCAAAAGGCAGCAGAAAUAUGCACAUGUUAUUUUUUUUUUUAAAAAAAGGAGAACUGAUAGAGAAAAGUAAGCCAGAACAACCUACAAUAAACAAGGGAUAUUUUAAAGUGUUUCUAACAAUUGACUUGCUUGUUAACAAACGACAUGGUAGGCUAUUUUUAUUUAUUUUAUUUAUUUUUUUACAAAUACAAAGGUUUCUUUAUUUGUGACCAUUUAUUUACAAUCUCCACUCAAGGAUAAUGACACAUAUGCAUACACGAUUUCCAUCCAGAAAAGUAGGCUAUUUUUAAUCCCCAGGGUACUGUUAAAGUAUUGUUUCACUUCUCUUUACAUCUUUCAGGACCCUGCCUGUUUUCCACUUCCUGACCUUUGUCAAGGACUUAAAGGAACCGCUGUCAAGUUGAACUGUGGUGGAAAGCUUGAAUCAGCUUGAAGGGGCUUGCAAAUCUCAGCUGGAUUCUCAGGAGCAAGCAUGUUGAGAACCUCUGAUUUAAGAAGUUAUUUUGUUAGCUGGAAUGCUAACUAGUACAUUUUGUAAUUCCCAUGCACUUCAAGUCUUCUUCCAGAGGGACUCUCAGAAUACUGUGCUAUAAUUUCUUUUCUAUUUUCGUUUAUUGUUAUCAGAUAAUGUGCACAUGGUAACAAACCAAGGAGUACAGAGAGCUUCGGCCCAGAGAUAUUAAUAAAUGCUCGAAAUGAAA